rnacentral:rRNA from 1 species
GAUGAACGCUGGCGGUAUGCUUAACACAUGCAAGUCGAACGAAUGUUUUCGAACAUUAGUGGCGGACGGGUGAGUAACGCGUGAGAAUCUGCCUAUAGGUUCGGGACAACCAUUGGAAACGAUGGCUAAUACCGGAUAUGCAGCAAUGUGAAAGAUAUAUUGCCUAAAGAUGAGCUCGCGUCUGAUUAGCUAGUUGGUGGGGUAAAGGCCUACCAAGGCGACGAUCAGUAACUGGUCUGAGAGGAUGAUCAGUCACACUGGAACUGAGACACGGUCCAGACUCCUACGGGAGGCAGCAGUGGGGAAUUUUCCGCAAUGGGCGAAAGCCUGACGGAGCAAUACCGCGUGAGGGAGGAAGGCUCUUGGGUUGUAAACCUCUUUUCUUAGGGAAGAACAAAAUGACGGUACCUAAGGAAUAAGCAUCGGCUAACUCCGUGCCAGCAGCCGCGGUAAUACGGAGGAUGCAAGCGUUAUCCGGAAUGAUUGGGCGUAAAGCGUCCGCAGGUGGUUUUGUAAGUCUAUUGUUAAAGCGUCUGGCUCAACCAGAUAAUGGCGGUGGAAACUACAAGACUAGAGUCCGUUCGGGGCAGAGGGAAUUCCUGGUGUAGCGGUGAAAUGCGUAGAGAUCAGGAAGAACACCGGUGGCGAAAGCGCUCUGCUAGGCCGGAACUGACACUGAGGGACGAAAGCUAGGGGAGCGAAUGGGAUUAGAUACCCCAGUAGUCCUGGCCGUAAACGAUGGACACUAGGUGUU